GACGAACGCUGGCGGUGUGCUUAACACAUGCAAGUCGAACGGUAAGGCCCUUUCGGGGGUACACGAGUGGCGAACGGGUGAGUAACACGUGAGUAACCUGCCCUCAUCUCUGGGAUAACAGUCGGAAACGGUUGCUAAUACUGGAUAUGAGCCUGCAAGGCAUCUUGUGGGUUGGAAAGAUUUUUUGGUUGGGGAUGGACUCGCGGCCUAUCAGCUUGUUGGUGAGGUAGGGGCUCACCAAGGCUUCGACGGGUAGCCGGCCUGAGAGGGGGACCGGCCACAUUGGGACUGAGAUACGGCCCCAACUCCUGCGGGAGGGAGGAGGGGGGAAUAUUGCACAAUGGACGGAAGGCUGAUGCAGCAACGCCGCGUGCGGGAUGACGGCCUUCGGGUUGUAAACCGCUUUCAAUUGUGAAGGAGCUGUUUGUGACGGUAGCAGUAGAAGAAGCACCGGCUAACUACGUG
rnacentral:rRNA from 1 species